rnacentral:misc_RNA from 1 species
GAAAUGCGAUACGUAAUGUGAAUUGCAAAUUCAGUGAAUCAUCGAGUCUUUGAACGCACAUUGCGCCCCCUGGUAUUCCGGGGGGCAUGCCUGUCCGAGCGUCAUUUCUGCCCUCAAGCGCGGCUUGUGUGUUGGGCCCCGUCCUCCGAUCCCGGGGGACGGGCCCGAAAGGCAGCGGCGGCACCGCGUCCGGUCCUCGAGCGUAUGGGGCUUUGUCACCCGCUCUGUAGGCCCGGCCGGCGCUUGCCGAUCAACCCAAAUUUUUAUCCAGGUUGACCUCGGAUCAGGUAGGGAUACCCGCUGAACUUAAGC